rnacentral:tmRNA from 1 species
GGGGCUGUUUUGGAAUCGACAAAAUCGUCAAAAAAAUAAAAUGCAUGUCGAGGAACGGUUUGCCUCGAUAAAAAGCCGUAAAAAAUAUCUGCAAAAAAUAACCAAAACUACGCUUUAGCAGCUUAAAAACUGUAUUUAGCCUUUCCUGUUUAUUUUUUUCUCUUAGAAAUAACAAUCGGAAAGAUAAAAUAUAAGAGACAACAUGUAUAUUAAGCUUGGUGAUAUGCAUGAAAUUGUUUCCUCAAGCUAUGCUCUUAAAAUGUGUUUUUCCAAAUUAAGAGAUGAAUUCUGAAAAGAAAAAAUAAACAUGUAGAAUUUUAUUUUUAGAAAUUUUGGACGCGGGUUCGAAUCCCGCCAGCUCCAA